rnacentral:rRNA from 1 species
UAGUCCACGCCGUAAACGAUGGUCACUAGCUGUUUGGACUUCGGUCUGAGUGGCUAAGCGAAAGUGAUAAGUGACCCACCUGGGGAGUACGUUCGCAAGAAUGAAACUCAAAGGAAUUGACGGGGGCCCGCACAAGCGGUGGAGCAUGUGGUUUAAUUCGAUGAUACGCGAGGAACCUUACCAGGGCUUAAAUGUAAGUUGCAUUAGCUAGAGAUAGCUAUUUCUUCGGACCACUUACAAGGUGCUGCAUGGUUGUCGUCAGCUCGUGCCGUGAGGUGUCAGGUUAAGCCCUAUAACGAGCGCAACCCCUGUUGUUAGUUGCCAGCGAGUCAAGUCGGGAACUCUAACAAGACUGCCAGUGCAAACUGUGAGGAAGGUGGGGAUGACGUCAAAUCAUCAUGGCCUUUAUGCCUAGGGCGACACACGUGCUACAAUGGUAGGGACAGAGGGUAGCGAAUCAGUGAUGUGGAGCUAAUCUCAAAAACCCUAUCUCAGUUCGG